rnacentral:rRNA from 1 species
CCUUAGGCAAAUCCGGGAUCACUUACGCCGAGCACCGAGACGAGUCCUAUGAGGACGAAGUGACUGACACCACGCUUCCAGGAAAAGCCACUAAGCUUCAGCUUAAGAAAAACCGUACCGCAAACCGACACAGGUAGGCAGGGUGAGAAUCCCAAGGCGCUUGAGAGAACUCGGGUGAAGGAACUAGGCAAAAUGGCACCGUAACUUCGGGAGAAGGUGCGCCCUUUGGUGUGGUCACGUGCGUGACUGAGCAUUGAAGGGUCGCAGUAACCUGGCCGCUGCGACUGUUUAUCAAAAACACAGCACUCUGCAAACACGAAAGUGGACGUAUAGGGUGUGACGCCUGCCCGGUGCUGGAAGGUUAAUUGAUGGGGUCAGCCGCAAGGCGAAGCUCUUGAUCGAAGCCCCAGUAAACGGCGGCCGUAACAAUAACGGUCCUAAGGUAGCGAAAUUCCUUGUCGGGUAAGUUCCGACCUGCACGAAUGGCGUAACGACAGCGGCGCUGUCUCCACCCGAGACUCAGUGAAAUUGAAAUCGCUGUGAAGAUGCAGCGUUCCCGCGGCAAGACGGAAAGACCCCGUGAACCUUUACUAUAGCUUUACACUGAACGUUGAGUUCUUCUGUGUAGGAUAGGUGGGAGGCUAUGAAACCAGGACGCUAGUUCUGGUGGAGCCAUCCUUGAAAUACCACCCUGAAGUGCUUGACGUUCUAACCUAGGCCCGUAAUCCGGGUCAGGGACCGUGUAUGGUGGGUAGUUUGACUGGGGCGGUCUCCUCCCAAAGAGUAACGGAGGAGCACGAAGGUACGCUCAGCGCGGUCGGACAUCGCGCACUGUGUGCAAAGGCAUAAGCGUGCUUGACUGCGAGAUCGACGGAUCAAGCAGGUACGAAAGUAGGUCUUAGUGAUCCGGUGGUUCUGUAUGGAAGGGCCAUCGUUCAACGGAUAAAAGGUACUCCGGGGAUAACAGGCUGAUACCGCCCAAGAGUUCAUAUCGACGGCGGUGUUUGGCACCUCGAUGUCGGCUCAUCACAUCCUGGGGCUGUAGCCGGUCCCAAGGGUAUGGCUGUUCGCCAUUUAAAGUGGUACGCGAGCUGGGUUCAGAACGUCGUGAGACAGUUCGGUCCCUAUCUGUCGUGGGCGUUGGAGAUUUGAGGGGGGCUGCUCCUAGUACGAGAGGACCGGAGUGGACGUUCCGCUGGUGUUCGGGUUGUCAUGCCCAUGGCAUUGCCCGGUAGCUACGAACGGAAGUGAUAACCGCUGAAAGCAUCUAAGCGGGAAGCACGCCCCAAGAUGAGAUCUCCCGAGAGCUUGACUCUCCUAAAGGCACCAUCAAGACUAGGUGGUUGAUAGGUCAGGUGUGGAAGCGCAGCAAUGCGUUGAGCUAACUGAUACUAAUGAGCCGUGAGGCUUGGC